UCGUCGGAGGGCUGUCUUUGGGC
rnacentral:siRNA from 1 species